rnacentral:rRNA from 1 species
GAUUCUGGCUCAGGACGAACGCUGGCGGCGUGCUUAACACAUGCAAGGCGAGCGAUGAAGCACCUUCGGGUGUGAAUUAGCGGCGAACGGGUGAGGAACACGUGAAGAAUCUGCCUUCAACUCUGGGAUACUCCGGGAAACCGGGGCUAAUACCGGAUAUGAGCCUUGAUCGCAUGAUCGGGGCUGGAAAGUUUUUCGGUUGAAGAUGACUUCGCGGCCUAUCAGCUUGUUGGUGAGGUAAUGGCUCACCAAGGCGACGACGGGUAGCCGGCCUGAGAGGGCGACCGGCCACACUGGGACUGAGACACGGCCCAGACUCCUACGGGAGGCAGCAGUGGGGAAUAUUGGGCAAUGGAGGAAACUCUGACCCAGCGACGCCGCGUGAGGGAUGAAGGCCUUCGGGUUGUAAACCUCUUUCAGUAGGGAAGAAGCGAAAGUGACGGUACCUACAGAAGAAGCACCGGCUAACUAUGUGCCAGCAGCCGCGGUAAUACAUAGGGUGCAAGCGUUGUCCGGAAUUAUUGGGCGUAAAGAGCUCGUAGGUGGUUCGAUACGUCGGAUGUGAAAAUCAGGGGCUCAACCCCUGACCUGCAUCCGAUACGGUCGAGCUAGAGUUUGGUAGGGGAGACUGGAAUUCCUGGUGUAGCGGUGGAAUGCGCAGAUAUCAGGAGGAACACCGAUGGCGAAGGCAGGUCUCUGGGCCAAUACUGACACUGAGGAGCGAAAGCGUGGGGAGCGAACAGGAUUAGAUACCCUGGUAGUCCACGCCGUAAACGGUGGGCGCUAGUUGUGCGAACCUUCCACGGUUUGUGCGACGCAGCUAACGCAUUAAGCGCCCCGCCUGGGGAGUACGAUCGCAAGAUUAAAACUCAAAGGAAUUG